rnacentral:tRNA from 1 species
GGAGAGGUGACAGAGUGGCCGAGUGUGCAUCCCUGGACAGGAUGUGUGCGGGUAACUGCACCGAGGGUUCGAAUCCCUCCCUCUCCGCCA